CCAUCCUACAAAGGAACCAGCAGAAACUGAUUCAUUCAGGUUCAAAUAUGAUCCUCUCACACAUCUUAUGGUUGCAAUGACACAUCAUAAAUGUUAUAUCUACACAUUGAUGGGUACUGAAUCAACUGAUGUUCAUACAUCUCAUGGUCUUCAUUUACUUGAGACAAAACUUAUUACUAUGGUAGAUGACAGUUCUAUGACAUACAGCUCCAUGUCGCAUGAUGAAGUCACAGCCGCAAGUAAAUUAUUUGCCAGAAGUUGCAACAAGAGCGGAAUGACCACAUUCAAACUAAAUUAAAAGUACUUUACGGUGCGUUAUUUUUUCGUCUUGCAAUGAUUUGAAGGUCGUAAGAUCCAUCACUAACUAUAAUGAUGACCGUAAGGUACAUCA